UACGAAGGGGGCUAGCGUUGUUCGGAAUUACUGGGCGUAAAGCGCACGUAGGCGGAUUGCUAAGUCAGGGGUGAAAUCCCGGGGCUCAACCUCGGAACUGCCUUUGAUACUGACAAUCUCGAGUCCGGAAGAGGUGGGUGGAAUUCCUAGUGUAGAGGUGAAAUUCGUAGAUAUUAGGAAGAACACCAGUGGCGAAGGCGGCCCACUGGGCCGGUACUGACGCUGAGGUGCGAAAGCGUGGGGAGCAAACAGG
rnacentral:rRNA from 1 species